rnacentral:siRNA from 1 species
UAUUACACCAUUACCUCUACUAC